AGACAUUUCCCAGGCUGACCAUAAAAGCCAAAAAGUUGGCAGUGGCCCCAUUCCUGGAGAUCUCCCCCCUUGUCCAAAAUAGAACAAUCCUCCCACGUCUUAGCCUAUGAAAACUAACCACUCCCACACCUACAGAGUGUGUAUCUCUCUAAACACACCUGCUUUCACUUUACUAUGACUCGCUCUUGGCUCUUGAAUUCUUUCCUGAGUGAAGUCAAGGACUCCCAUUUGAUGGCAUAUUCCAGGGACUCACUUGAGAGACCUGGAACAUGACCAUCCCCUCAUGCCCCAUUUCUCCUGCGACACGUGUGGCUCACAUUAUAUUUUUAUUGGAGAGCUCUCCCUUCAAAGUUUCCAGUGUCAGAAUAUUUUUGCAUCUUGCCUUUGUCUGGCCCUUUCGUGCAAGAUGCUUGCCAGGCUCUAAAAAGGCUGAGAGAAGGAACCUCACUGAAAUUACCGUCCACAGUUUGGGGAAGUCUAUGAUCAAGGACCAGGCAGUUUAGAUGUCUGCUAAAGUCGGGCUAGCCAAGAGAGAAGGUGAUAGUUCUAUACCUCAUGGUUAUGUCAGUCUAAAGUGGCAUUAAAAAAUACUAUGAAUAAAUCAUCAAGUCCGUGACCUAUUGAGAGUUUAACAGGAGCCAAGUUCAAGAGGACAUAAGAACAACAAAGUCAGUGAAGGAACCCAUUGGAAGUCAGUUAUUUAAUGCCCUUUCUGCUUCCUCGACUUAAUGAAAGGCAACUCGUUUUUCAAUUUGGGUCACCAAAUACCACCUUGCUUCGAAAUCUUCCCUCUCUCCCCUUCAGUUGAGAAAGGAGGCUGCCAAGAAGUCAGAACAAUGGAAGCUAAGCAAAGAUACAGAAUCAAUUUCUGAAGACCACGAGGGAAGAAGCUGAUGAAGACUCUAUGUAUAGUUAGAUAAUGGGACGUUUCAUCCCUGGAAAGAUAAUAUUAAUAACUGCUGGAGGAGGGGAGAACUGUGGAGCAAAGAAUCUUGAGGGUGAGCAGUGCUGCUCAAACCACCUGUGGCAAUAGAUCAGUUUUAAAUUUCCAAUCCAGGAGUUCCCGUCGUGGCGCAGUGGUUAACGAAUCCGACUAGGAACCAUGAG